AUCCCGUCAAGGCGUGUGGAGAGUCUCGCACUUGGUUUGGGCUUGUUAAUAUCCCAGUUACUCUGCUUGUCAGAAAGUGUACUUUGGGAGCCUAGCUCUGAAUUUAUGUUGAAUCCUCAACAGGUAAUUAUUUUUUGUUUGUUUGUUUUUCCUUUAAUUUUUGUUGUGCUUUAGUGAAAGUUUACAAAUCAAGUCAGUCUCUCAUGCAAAAAUUUAUAUACACCUUGCCGUAUACUUGUAGUUGCUCUCCCCAUAAUGAGACAGCACGCUCCUUUUCUCUACCCUGUAUUCCCUGUGUCCGUUCACCCAGCUUCUGUCCCCCUCUGCCUUCUCAUCUCCCCUCCAGACAGGAGCUGUCCACAUAGUCUCAUGUGUCUACUUGACCCAAGAAGCUCGCUUCUCACCAAUAUCAUUUUCUAUCCCAUAGUCCAGUCCAAUCCCUAUCUGAAGUGCUGGCUUUGGAAAUGGUUCCUGUCUUGGGCUAACAGAAGGUCUGGGGACCAUGACCUCUGGGGUCCUUCUGGUUUCAGUUAGACUUUAAGUCUGGCCUUUUUAUGAGAAUUUGAGGUCUGCAUCCCACUGCUCUCCUGCUCUCUGAGGGGUUCUCUGUUGUGUUCCCUAUCAGGGCAGUCAUCGGUUGUAGCCGGGCACCAUCUGGUUCUUCUGGUCUCAGGCUGAUGUAGUCUUUGGUUUAUGUGGCCCUUUCUGGGCUUAUAAUUAAAAAGGUAAUUAAUUUUUAAAUUUUAUAAUGACUAAAAGGAGCCAAUCUUUUUAUCCAUUUUGCCUUACAGUAUCAAAGAUAACAUUUAUAGGCUUCUGCUGAAAAUGGCAGUUUUGGUAAUCAUUUUUUAACUUAACCAUAUUGUAGCAUCUUGGUUAAAUUCAGUGCUUUUCAGUAUUUUAAACAUAUAAAGGGAAUUCCUAUGAUAUUGGUAAAUUUUGAUAACAGCUUUUAAGUUGGAAAACAAAUUUAAUAUGAAUCUAAAAAAUUGAAUAGAUGCCUAAUGUGUAGUACAACUCAGUACUUUGAAAACAGAAAAGUGAUACCAAGACAUUCGACAUCUCAGAUUUUUGUUGUUCAUUCAUUUAUUUGAAAAUAUUUAAUGAGUAUCUACUAAGUGCCAGACACUGUUCUUUGCACAAAACCAAAAAAUCAAACCAGUUGCAGUCGAGUCAGUUCAACUCAUGGUGAUCCUGUGUGUGCAGAGAAGUGCUCCAGAGGGAUUUUUUUCUUUUAAUUUUAUUGUGCUUUAGGUGAAAGUUUACAGUGCAAAUUUGUUUCCUUAUUCAAGAAUUUAUGCAUAAAUUGUUUUGUGACGUUGGUUGCAAUCCCCGCAAUGUGUCAGCAUUUUUCCCCUUUCCAUCCUAGGUUCCCUGUGUCCGCUCGUCCUGUGUUCCUGUCCCUUCCUGCUUUCUCAUCUUGCUUUUGGACAGGAGUCGCCCAUUUGGUCACAUAUAUUGAUUUGACUAAGAAGCACAUUCCUCAUGUAUAUUCCUGUUUGUUUUCUAACCCGAAAACCCUUUGCCUUCCAGGUGACUCUGAUUCAUAGCGACCAUACAGGACAGUGAAAUUGCCGCAUAGAAUUUCCAAGGGGCAGCUGGUGGAUUCAAACUGCUGACCUUUUGGAAAUUUUCAAACAGAGAUGCAGUAAAACUCCUGAACUCAUCACUGAAUCACUACAGCGAUUAAUUUCUGCCCUUCUUGAUUCAUGUGCUUCCCCCGCUGUAGAAAGUGAUGAACUUCCCGCCACCCGAGUGUAUCCUUGCAAACUUGCACCAUGACUAAGAGAUAGAACAUUAACAUUUUCAUCAGUACUCCAGUUUAUCUUCAAUAGACAAGGACUUUGAAAAGCACACCCGUAAUGUUACCAUUCCACCUAAUCAUAUUAACACUAGUUGUUCUAUGUCAUUUUAUCUAAUGUUGUAAAUGAUACAUAUACAUACAUAUUGUUGUAUAAAAGUCAUUUAUACAGUUAUGUAAAUUAGUCUUUAUUCAGUUUUUCAUGAUUUUCUUUAAAAUGUCUUUUAAUAGUUUAUUUUAAGAAGGAUCUGAACAAGGUCUUCUCAUAGCAUCUGAUUUUUUUUUUUUUUUUAAUAUUGUGUUUUUGGUGAAAGUUUACACAGCACUUUAGGUUUCCAUUCAACAAUUUCUGCACAAGUUGUUCAGUGACAUUGGUUACAUUCUUCACAAUGUGUGAACAUUCUCAUUAUUUCCAUUCUGGUUGUACUGUUUUCAUUAGUCUAGUUUUCCUGCUUCUGUACAUUCUCAUCUUUGUUUUAAUGUAAUUGUUGACCACAGGUGAUUUUUUUUUAAGGAACACAGUAUUUACAGAUGAUAUUCAUUAUUUUUUUGAGUCAGUUUGUUAUCUACAGUGUGACUUCAGGGGUUAGUUUUGGUUCGGGAUCGAAAGACUAUCUCAGGGCAGUGGUCUCAGGAAGUCCUCUAGUCUCAACCAGUCCAGUAGGUCUUUUUUUGUUUGUUUGUGUUUAUAAGGGAAUUUGAGGUUUUGUUUCACAUUUUUCUCCCAUUUUAUCAGGGUCCAUCUAUUGUAGCCCUGAUUAGAGUGGUCGGUAGUGGUAGCUGGGCACCAUCUAGUUCUCUUGGUCUCAGGGUAGAUGAGGCCAUGAUUCAUGCAGACUAUUUGUCCUGUAGACUAGUUUCUUCAUUUUCUUAAAAGAUUAUUCUGGCUGCUGUUUGGAGGAUGGAUUAUAAGGGAAAAAAAUAAGGAUAGCUUAACUAGGAGGCAAAUUCAGCCCAAAUGAGACGAUGGGAGCUCGGACUAGGAUUUUAGCAGUGGAGGUGUUCAGAAGUGGAUGGGAUGAGUUUGGGAUAUUUUGGAGGAUAAGUUUGGAGUAUCUAUGGAUUGGAUGUGAGGGGUCAGGAAAAAAGGAAGUGACAGUAAAUUCUGGUUUUGGGGCUUGAAGAUUGCUUUGUAGGAUUACAUUAUGUGAGUUAAUCACAGUUUAUGUAUCACUCUCUUGAUGGGCUUGAGCUUGAGUUUAGCUUGAACUUGGAUGAGAGCGCCAUUUAUGGACAUGAGAAAAGACUGAGGAGCAAGUUGGUGGAGAGGGAGCAGGUGAUCAUUUCUAUUUUGGACAUGUUUGAGGUGCCUGUUAGAUAUCCAAGUGGAGAUGUCAGAUAGGUACUUGGAAAUAGAAGUUUGGAGUUCAGUGGAGAAGUCAGGAGUGAAGAUAAAUUUUGGCCAUCACGGACAUGUAAGUGGUAUUUAAACCAUGGGGUAAAUGAGAUUAUCUGGGGAGGGAGUGAAGUGUCUUUUUUCCUCCACCUUGCUGCCAAGAAAGGGGAUUGAGAAACAGAAGCUAGAAAGGGAGGAGGAAGCCGAGAGGAGAAAAUGCUCCAAGAAGGAUCAAGUGGUAGGUUUUCAGACACUUCUGAGUGGUCUCGUAAUAGAAGGCUAGGGAAAGACUGUUGGUUUUGGUAAUAGAGAGGUCAUUAAUGAUUUUUUUAAUUAAUUUUUUUAUUUUGAGAAUUACAGAUUUACAUGCAGUUGUAAGAAAUGAUACAAAAAGAUUGCAUGCACGCUUCAUCCAGCUAAUGGAAAUGGCUCCCUUGAUUACUAACCUGGAGUUUGGCGGUUCGAACCCACCCAGCAGCACUGCAGAAGAAAGACCUGGUGAUCUGCUUCUAUAAAGAUUAUAGCCAAGAGAACCCUAAGGAACAGUUCUACUCUGUAACGCAUGGGGUUGUCAUGAGUCAGAACUGACUGGAUGAAAAUAGGUUGUUUUUUUUUUUUUUAAAUACGGUAUCAGAACCUAGGAUGGACAUUUAUACGGUAAAGAUACAGAACAAUUUCUUCAUUUCAGGGGUCCUUCAUGUUGCCCUUUUAUAGCCACACCUCCUUUUUCUCACCCUCACUCUCUCCUUAAUCCCUAGCAACUACCAAUCUGUUCUCUAUUUCUAUAAUUGUGUCAUUUCAAGAAUGGCAUAUGUAUGGAAUCAUACAGUAUAAGCUUUCAGGGUCAGCUUUUGUUUCACUUAGCAUAAUUUUCCGGAGAGUCAUCCAAGUUGUUACACGCGUGAAUAGUUUGUUCCUUUUUAUUUCCGAGUAGCAUUCCAUGGUGUGGAUGUACCACAGCUUGUCUAACCACUCACCCGUUGAAGGGCAUCUCUGGGUUGUUUCCAGGACUUGGGUGUUGUGAAUAAACCUGCUGUAAGCACACGUGUACAGGUUUUUGUGUGGACAUAAGUUUUCAUUUGUCUAGGAUAAACGCCCAACAGUGCAGUUGCAUGUCUGGUUUUUUAAGAGACUGCGAAAUUGUUUUCUAGAGUGGCUGUACCAUUUUAUAUUCCCCCAGCGAUGUCUGAGUGACCCGGUGUGUCUGCGUUCUUGUCAGCAUUUGGUGUUAUCUCUAUUUUUUAUUUUAGCCAUUCUGAUAGGUGUGUAGUGAUAGCUCAUUAAUUUGCAUUUCCCUAAUGGCUAGUGAUGUUGGACAUUUUUUCAUGUGCUUAUUUACCAUUGUAAAUCCUUUUUGGUGAAAUGUCCCUUCAUGCCUUUUACCUGUUUUCUAAUUGGAUUGUUUAGAUUUUUUUUUUCAUCUUGGGUUUUGAGAGUUCUUUAUAUAUUCUAGAUGCUAAUUCUCUGUCAGUUACGUGGUUUGCAAGUAUUUUCUCCCACUCUGUAGCUUGCCUUUUCAUCUCACAGAGGUAAAAUUCUUAAUUUUGAUGAAGUCUAAUUUAUCCUUUUAGGGGUCUUGCUUUUGGUGUCAAAUCCGAAAACUCUUUGCAUAGUCCUAACUCAUGAAAAUUAUUUCUGUUUUUUCUAAAUGUUUUAUAUUUUUCCAUUGUUUGUGAUCCCUUUUGAGUUAAUUAUUGUAUAUUGUAUGAGAUUAUGUCAAGAGUGAUUUUUUAGCCAAUGGUUAUCCAGCUGUUCCAGCACCAUUUUUUGAAAAGCGUAUCUUUCCUCCAUGAAAUUACUAUUGCACUUUGCCAGAAAUCAGUUAAGCAGGCUUACAGCCAUGAUGAGUCUAUUUCCGGGCUCUCUAUUCUUUUCCAUUGUUCUGUGUCUUGUCUCUCUACUAGUACCACGCAGUCUUGAUUACUGUAGCUAUACUCAUUGCUGUUGGGUCGAAUCCAACUCUACGAUGGAGCAGAACUGCCCCAUGGGUUUCCAAGGCUGUAAUCUUUACAGGAGCAGACUGCCACGUCUUUCUCCCGUGAAGUGACUGGUGGGUUCAAACCACCGACCUUUCUGUUAGAAGCUGAGUGCCUAACCACUGCAUCACCAGGGCUCCUUACUGUAUUUAUAGAGAUCUUGAAAUCAGAUAGACUGAUUUCUUCCAUUUUAUUCCUCUUCAAUAUUGUUCUAGCUAUUCUACUUCCUUUGCCUUUCCAUGGGGCCCUGGUGGUGCAGUGGUUAAGUGUUUGGCUACUAACCAAAAGGUCGGCAGUUUGAAUCCACCAGCUGCUCCUUGGAAACUCUGUGGGACAGUUCUGCUCGUCCUGUAGGGUCACUACGAGCCGGAAUUUACUCCACGGCAACGGUUUUUUAUUUGCCUUUCCAUGUAAAUUUUAGAGUAAUCUUGUCUGUAUAUGAAAAAUCUUGCUGGCAUUUCAAUAACAAUUGUGUAAAAUGUGUUGAUCAAUUUGAGGAGAAUAGACAUCUUUACUGUGUUGAGUCUUCCAAGCCGUGAACUAAUAUGUCUCCAUUUAUUUGGGUCUUUGAUUUUUGUACAUCAUUGUUUUGUAGUAGUUUUCAUCAUGCAAGUCCUGACCAUGUUUUGUUAGAUUUACACCGAAAUAUUUUCUUUCUUUCUUUUUUGAGUGAUUGUAAAUGAUAUUGUAUUUUUAAUUUCAGCAUCAUUGAUGACAUUUUAGGAACAGUUUAAAGGAAUUAGUGGAGACGGAAGCCUGAAUGGAGUAGGUUGAGGAGAGAAUGACAGGUGUGAACGUAGAGACGGCAGCUAUAGACCAUGAGCUGAAGAAGUUUGACUGUAAAGGAAGCAGAGGAAUGGGGAGGCAGCUGAAGUGCAGGCAUGAGGUCAAAGGACAGGUUUUUCUCUCUGUGUGUAUUUACUAUAAGAUCCUUUGGUAACUUCUGUAUUUUACCUAGGUAUCACACGGCUGCCAGCUACAUUUACUGUUCCUUAAUUUGUUGAAUUUCUCCCCAUUGGAGAAUAAUAGCCUGUGGUCAUGUUUUGUUUUACUCUGCUUUUGAUUGCCCUAGGUUAGCAUCUGAUUACUGUGUGUAAGAUAAAUGACUAUUACCUUGGGGGCAAAAGUUGCUUAAUAGGAAUGAACUAUUAGCUUGCUGAUUGUUGAGAGAGAUUCUCCAGUUUUUUUUUUUUUUUUU